CAGAUAUACACUCUGAUGACGAGACGUCUCUUCGGGGGCUGUUCCGUUGUGGCGGUGUUACAUAGUCGCCGGACGGUACUGGUGAAGGAGGGUAACUGGAGCGGAGUGUCCGGGAGUACACCGCAGUCCCAUCUGACGCUUGCUGCUGCCGGAGCACGGAGCGCAAGACUCCGGUUCCCGUGUGCUUUUUGAGAGCGGGAAACACAACAAACCCACAACAAGGUUUUGUUUUGCUUUCCUCAAAACAUGAAGAAGCCAGACGUGAGAACAGGGCAGCAGGCUGGCAGCAGUUCCUCCUGAAGGCCCACCCCUCCGUCCCGGUCCCACAUUACAAAGUUUUUGCUCACUCAAUUCAAAUGCUUUCCAUUCUGUGGAAAGGUAUGUGUUGUAUGCGAGGGAGCAUAUUUUGUGGGGUUGAUGGACGGUUUGAGCAGCCUCACUUGACCCGAGUCGGAAUGAUUAGACUCUGCGGCUGGGUGAGGCUGCACACCUAGUGGUGUUUUUCCACUAUGAUGCACACAGAUUAAACCAGAUAUGUACAAUGCAGCAACAAUGUUCUCCACUAAGUGUUUAUGAAAAACGCUCUGUAAAACAAACUUUAUUUUACAGAGAAAUCACAAAGUUAAAACGCAUUCCAGUGAGUUUAUAACUGGAGAAGGAAACAUAGGUUAAACAUAGGAGAAUAUUUGAAUAUCUGUUUUCACUCAGGUGACAAGAUCAACAUGUUUUUGCUGAAUAAUUCAUGGUCAGAGAUGCCCCCCCUUCAAGGAGUUUGAAAAGUUUUGGAUGUGCAUUGAGUUCUAUCUGAUCUUAGAAUGAACUGUAGAUGCAUUGCUCAUUCUCAAAAUUAAUUACAGCAGCAAGGGAAUAAAUAAUAUAUGGAUGACAAUGAAGCGAAUGACAAGGUCAGUCAAAUAUUUCAUUUAGGAGAUGACAUACAUACAAAAAUGAUUAAGUUUAAAAUUGUUCAAAGUACCUCAAUAUUGCAGUAUGAAUGUAUCUAGACUUUGCAUUGACAUAUUCAACCGUCUUUAGUCGAACGCAUUCCAAACAUUUGACUGAGAUCAAAUCUCAGUCAAAUGUUAAGGGAAGUUGAAGGGAUAUGCAACUGGUAGUCAAGGAUGUGCUGGGGCAAUCUCAGGCGAUCUCACUUGUGGUAACAGAGAAUAGGGGAUAGGUUAGGUGGACUCGCCGCGACCUGUGUGUGUGUGUCUGUGUCUUUGUGUGUUUAUGUAACUUUGUGAAAAAGUCAUUUAGAAAAAAAUGACACUCAAAUGAUAGCUGUGAAAUCUUACAUACACCCAUAAAACACAACUAGUGAAGCAGUUGGUAAGCAGAAUUGUAAUAAGUAAGCAAUGCAAUAUCUGCUUCAAAGAGUAAGGCUUCCAUUUGUUGUGGGACUUUCUUGAUGAUCAGUGUCCAGGCUCGAAGGCCAACCUCCACUGAAAGAUGUGAUGCAACAGCCCUCAAUGUGCCGCUGUGGCCUCUGGGAUUCCUGGAAUUAGAUGGGGAUGAUAACUGUCAUAGCAUGUUAGGCUGCAGAACAUGUCUCUCUGCUGUCACACUUUUUACUGUUCAAUUAUACAUUAUAAGUUCCUCAGAAAUGAUCGAAACAAACAAAAUAUAGUCAAAUUUUCUAAAGUUUUUCACAAAUAUGUCAUAUACAGGGGCACAUUUCUCGCUAAAAAUGUUUCCAUAAACGCAUUUAAUGGCGUAACUAUGUUACUAUUUCCACCCAGAAUAAAGAAAGAUGUCGGCCGUAUGCUUCUGUGCAAGGGUCACUACUCUCUGCCAGUGACAGGGUCAAGCUCCAUGCUGAUUGGCUAUCGUGGCAAAGCGUCACGCGUUGGAGCGUUGAAAGUUCAAUUUUCUGAACUCCGGGCGUUGGUGCUUUACGGCACAGACCCCCAAACACGGAACCGGCUCGAAAUAAACACAAGUAACUAAGGGAUUGUUAUAUUCAUCAUAGAUCAGCCGACUAAAAAGAGACAGAGAAACCCAAUGUCGGAGGAACAGAAGAAGAGAAGAGGGAGACUGACCGACAGAGAGGCCAGACACGAGUAAACGUUAUGCAAGCUUUUCAGGAAUAGCGUGAACUGAAAGAAAAAGAAGACUGCAAAUCAGACGCCGACUCGGCCGUGUUGCUUUUGAAAUUGAAAGUACCCUUGGGUGAACUUUGUCUUAAUGGUGUUCUUGAUGUUGAUAGUCUCUGUACAAAUGUGUUUGCUCAACCAUUUUGUUGUGAGCCCUGUAAAAAUUGUUUUCUCGACCGUUUUGUUGUGAGCCCUGUAUGUUUCUAGCUUGCUUGGUUGCAACCAUAUAAACACCUUUAUUUCCAUGGGUGGUUUGCUGUUCGUCCGUCUCGUCCCCCAGAUAGACUGAAUCCCCGAAUCCAGGUUCUUGUUUAUUUAGAUUAUUAUGUUGGCCAACACUCUUACACUGAUUGUUCUGUUCAACCUAAGAUAUAACAAUUAUAAUCUAAUUAUAAAAAAAAAAAUUAUUUUAUUAUUUAUUUUCUUUAAAGUUAUUUUCCCAGCAAACUGGCCUGUUCCCUAGAGGAGCAGUAUGGGGAAUCCAAGUUGAAACAACUUGCCCAAAGGUUCGGACUUGAUGACAGAAAAAUUCUUGAAGGCUAUAGGGAUUUUAAGGAUAACUCAAGCAUCAUUCCAGAAAACCUUGCACCACUCCUG
ensembl:lncRNA